rnacentral:piRNA from 1 species
UGCCUCCCUGCUGGUAUUUCUCAUCCUCC